rnacentral:rRNA from 1 species
AGGGCACCACCAGGAGUGGAGCCUGCGGCUCAAUUUGACUCAACACGGGAAAACUCACCCGGCCAGGACACCGUAAGGAUUGACAGACUGAGAGCUCUUUCUUGAUUCGGUGGGUGGUGGUGCAUGGCCGUUCUUAGUUGGUGGAGCGAUUUGUCUGGUUAAUUCCGAUAACGAACGAGACUCUAGCCUGCUAAAUAGACGGGCGAUCCCGUUGUGGGUCGACCCGAUUUGCUUCUUAGAGGGACAAGUGGCGCUCCUAGCCACGCGAAAUUGAGCAAUAACAGGUCUGUGAUGCCCUUAGAUGUCCGGGGCCGCACGCGCGCUACAAUGAGGGACGCAGUGUGCCCGCAAAGCCUGACCCGGAAGGGUUGGGUAAUCAUUUCAAUUUCUCUCGUAACUGGGAUUGGGCAUUGUAAUUAUUGCCCAUGAACGAGGAAUUCCUAGUAAGCGCGAGUCUAAGCUUGCGUUGACUACGUCCCUGCCCUUUUGUACACACCGCCCGUCGCUACUACCGAUUGA